rnacentral:rRNA from 1 species
GGGGAAUUUUGCGCAAUGGGGGAAACCCUGACGCAGCAACGCCGCGUGGAGGAUGAAAUCCCUUGGGAUGUAAACUCCUUUCGAUAGGGAAGAUAAUGACGGUACCUAUAGAAGAAGCCCCGGCUAACUUCGUGCCAGCAGCCGCGGUAAUACGAGGGAGGCAAGCGUUGUUCGGAAUUAUUGGGCGUAAAGGGUGCGUAGGCGGUUUGACAAGUCUCAUGUGAAAUCUUCGGGCUCAACUCGAAGUCUGCAUGGGAAACUGUCGGGCUUGAGUAUGGGAGAGGUGAGUGGAAUUUCCGGUGUAGCGGUGAAAUGCGUAGAUAUCGGAAGGAACACCUGUGGCGAAAGCGGCUCACUGGACCAUAACUGACGCUGAGGCACGAAAGCUAGGGGAGCAAAC